rnacentral:rRNA from 1 species
AAUGAACGCUGGCGGCAGGCCUAACACAUGCAAGUCGAAUGGAUCCUUCGGGAUUAGUGGCGGACGGGUGAGUAACGCGUGGGAACAUACCCUUUGGUACGGAAUAGCCUCGGGAAACUGGGAGUAAUACCGUAUGUGGUCGAGAGACGAAAGAUUUAUCGCCAAAGGAUUGGCCCGCGUUGGAUUAGGUAGUUGGUGGGGUAAUGGCCUACCAAGCCGACGAUCCAUAGCUGGUUUGAGAGGAUGAUCAGCCACGCUGGGACUGAGACACGGCCCAGACUCCUACGGGAGGCAGCAGUGGGGAAUCUUAGACAAUGGGGGAAACCCUGAUCUAGCCAUGCCGCGUGAUCGAUGAAGGCCUUAGGGUUGUAAAGAUCUUUCAGGUGGGAAGAUAAUGACUGUACCACCAGAAGAAGCCCCGGCUAACUCCGUGCCAGCAGCCGCGGUAA